GUUAGGUGCAAGUCAAAGAUUCAGUGACAUUUUAUUUCCUGUAUGCUUAGCCACAGUGCUUUCAAUUUAUGAUUUCUGUCAGCCUGACAAGAGUACAAAAUAUGGGCUGCAGUUUUUAGGACCAGUGGGGGCUGAGCUUUUGGUACUUUCUGGUACAGGUUCCUGGUCUUGUUAUCAGGGUCUAUCACCUGAGGAAGCAGCUCCUUCGCUCCACCUUCCCUCAGAAGUGUGGUGUAGGAAUGAAGAGGAGAGACAAAAGCUAUGUUGAAACAGAACUGAAGAGUUAGUGGCUUCCUUGGCAUUUCUUUGAAAACCGGAUCCUAAAUUGGGAAUUUCUGCUAAGGAAUAUCAACUGGGGGAAGAAUUCAUGCCAAUAAUAAUAAAUCCUUCCUUUUAUUUUGAAUACUCCAAAUGAAGCUACUGUUACAGAAGAAACAAUGAUUUCAUCCUCAUACUUACUUGCC